AUUUCAAGUAUGUCGGUUCAUAAAGACGCCUGAUAAUGCGUAGUACACAGAUGGUAAACGUAAUUUCCGGACACAGAUGCGACUUGCAAGGGUCAAAAUCUUUAAAUUAUGAUCUCUGUGUGCAUGCGAUUAUCUUUAGCCGACUUGUGAAAUGUCCAAAUAACUCCAACUGCUUCCUCAGAUGAUAACACGGACGAUAAAGGAAUGAAGGGUAUGUCUGCUUCAUUACGAUUGACAAAACUUGCACAUCUACUUUCAAGCUGGUGAAAGCACGAUUUCAAGAUGUAAGCUAAGAAAGAAGAUGGUAAUUUCCGGUCACAAGUGUCAAAAUCUUAAAAUUAGGGUCGAAGGGAAAUAUACGUCUCCUUGCGGUAAACCAGAAUACAGCACGACAUUUUGCUUCAUAUACGUGUUAUUCAAAAUACAACAACAGUUUAAAGCCAAAGGAACCCAAUCUAAGAAGAUGAUUUAACUAUAAUUGUGCCAGUCGUUGGACAUUCAAAAUCAUGAUCUGAUAUAUCGUUUGGAAAUUCUUCCCUUUGCUGAUAAAAUACCUUCUAUCAUUUAAUGGAUACUUAACUAGAACGGAACAGAACAGAACAGAACGGACCAGAACAGAACUCUCUAUUUAGGAUUAAAACUCAUCCA